UCAAUGGGUGUGAAAAACACCCACGCCGAAAGACCAAGGGUUCCUGCGCAACGUUAAUCGACGCAGGGUUAGUCGGUUCCUAAGGCGAGGCUGAAAAGCGUAGUCGAUGGGAAACAGGUUAAUAUUCCUGUACUUCUGGUUACUGCGAUGGAGGGACGGAGAAGGCUAGGCCAGCUUGGCGUUGGUUGUCCAAGUUUAAGGUGGUAGGCUGAAAUCUUAGGUAAAUCCGGGGUUUCAAGGCCGAGAGCUGAUGACGAGUCGUCUUUUAGAUGACGAAGUGGUUGAUGCCAUGCUUCCAAGAAAAGCUUCUAAGCUUCAGGUAACCAGGAACCGUACCCCAAACCGACACAGGUGGUCGGGUAGAGAAUACCAAGGCGCUUGAGAGAACUCGGGUGAAGGAACUAGGCAAAAUGGCACCGUAACUUCGGGAGAAGGUGCGCCGGCUAGGGUGAAGGAUUUACUCCGUAAGCUCUGGCUGGUCGAAGAUACCAGGCCGCUGCGACUGUUUAUUAAAAACACAGCACUCUGCAAACACGAAAGUGGACGUAUAGGGUGUGACGCCUCCCCGGUGCCGGAAGGUUAAUUGAUGGGGUUAGCGCAAGCGAAGCUCUUGAUCGAAGCCCCGGUAAACGGCGGCCGUAACAAUAACGGUCCUAAGGUAGCGAAAUUCCUUGUCGGGUAAGUUCCGACCUGCACGAAUGGCGUAACGAUGGCGGCGCUGUCUCCACCCGAGACUCAGUGAAAUUGAAAUCGCUGUGAAGAUGCAGUGUAUCCGCGGCUAGACGGAAAGACCCCGUGAACCUUUACUGUAGCUUUGCACUGGACUUUGAGCCUGCUUGUGUAGGAUAGGUGGGAGGCUUUGAAGCGUGGACGCCAGUUCGCGUGGAGCCAUCCUUGAAAUACCACCCUGGCAUGCUUGAGGUUCUAACUCUGGUCCGUAAUCCGGAUCGAGGACAGUGUAUGGUGGCAGUUUGACUGGGGCGGUCUCCUCCUAAAGAGUAACGGAGGAGUACGAAGGUGCGCUCGGACCGGUCGGGAAUCGGUCGCAGAGUAUAAAGGCAAAAGCGCGCUUGACUGCGAGACAGACACGUCGAGCAGGUACGAAAGUAGGUCUUAGUGAUCCGGUGGUUCUGUAUGGAAGGGCCAUCGCUCAACGGAUAAAAGGUACUCCGGGAUAACAGGCUGAUACCGCCCAAGAGUUCAUAUCGACGGCGGUGUUUGGCACCUCGAUGUCGGCUCAUCACAUCCUGGGGCUGAAGCCGGUCCCAAGGGUAUGGCUGUUCGCCAUUUAAAGUGGUACGCGAGCUGGGUUUAGAACGUCGUGAGACAGUUCGGUCCCUAUCUGCCGUGGACGUUAGAGAUUUGAGAGGGGCUGCUCCUAGUACGAGAGGACCGGAGUGGACGAACCUCUGGUGUUCCGGUUGUCACGCCAGUGGCAUUGCCGGGUAGCUAUGUUCGGAAAAGAUAACCGCUGAAAGCAUCUAAGCGGGAAACUUGCCUCAAGAUGAGAUCUCACUGGGAACUUGAUUCCCCUGAAGGGCCGUCGAAGACUACGACGUUGAUAGGCUGGGUGUGUAAGCGUUGUGAGGCGUUGAGCUAACCAGUACUAAUUGCCCGUGAGGCUUGACC
rnacentral:rRNA from 1 species